UGCAUAUGCAUAUUGUCCGAAAUUCACUGAUGCAUGAAGGGCUGAUGAGAUCCAUAUGAGGGUUGUUAAAGUCUUUGUAAGAUCUGUCUUGAUUUCACAGAAUCAUCAUCUUCAUAGAAGAGGUCGCAGAAAUCUUUCACCCAUGUAUCGAUGGCCAGCCAUACAUCGAGACCAUCUAGACCAUAGGGGUAAUCUUGGAAGAGAAUUUGGGCCUCAGUGGGGCUUUCUGGGUCUUCCAGGGCCAUGCGCCUGAGAAGUGAUAUCAAGAUAUAUUAUAUGGUAUUAUGUAAAAAUUUUACGAUUCUCAACCCCAACCGUCAAACGUUUUUGAACGUCCGGCCACUUUCUAGGUUAACUGCUAAUAAUCUAUUAAACUGAAGGUUUUUU